rnacentral:misc_RNA from 1 species
ACCAAUUUUCCAGGGCCAUGGCUGCUGCAGCCUAAUGCAACGAGAGUCCACCCUCUUGAAGAGCCUGUAAUAAUAGCAAUUGUACACUACCAAGCACUACUCAUGGCUUUUAUGUAACUAUAUUGUUUGUCAUAAACGCAAAGAAGCCUAAAGGCCAUUCAACCAUGACUUUUGUUUAAUUAGUUGCACUUCCACGCUGUUCUUUCUUUUUACAUACUAUAUAUUUACAGUGCUGAGAAUCCUAAUUGAUCAACAACCUUUCUUUGGAUUGCAAUCGUUUGUAUAAACAUGAUGAGUCUCUGUUGAUGAUCCAGAAGGAUAGCCAUAAUUCCCAUAACUAGUGUUCUUCUCAUCAUCACCAUCACCACUACUGUUGCUGCCACCACUACUAGUAGAAGUGCUGCUAUUUCUAUUAUCUGUAUCUGCUUCAACUGCUGGUACUGAACCUGUCAAUGGAUUUCCAGAAGUGCUUGAUUUCCCAUGUUCA